GGGCGGGGAAGCCAGUUAAGGGGCCAAAGCAGGUGCCCAUGGAGACAGAGCCGGGCCUGCCCUGAAAUCUCUGCUGCUUCCUGCUCUCUGGAGAGCCUUCUGUUCCCCAGGUCCAUGUCUCAGCUAUGCUCACCACGGACGAGCCCCUGUCCCACCUGGGCCCCUCACUGCUGCUGUUGCUGCAGCUGCAGCUACUGCUGGCCCCCGCAUCUGCCUUCUUCCCCAAUAUCUGGAGCCUCCUGGCUGCCCCCGGCUCCAUCACCCACCAGGACCUGACCGAGGAGGCGGCACUCAACGUCACCCUGCAGCUCUUCCUGGAGCAGCCGCCCCCAGGUCGGCCCCCCCUUCGCCUUGAGGACUUCCUGGGCCGCACUCUCCUUGCCGACAACCUCUUUGCCGCCUACUUUGGACCUGGGUCUCCUUCCCGGCGGUUCCGAGCAGCCUUAGGAGAGGUGUCUCGUGCCAAUGCCGCCCAGGACUUCCUGCCGACUUCCAGGAAUGACCCUGACUUGCACUUUGAUGCCGAGCGGCUGGGCCAGGGGCGCGCACGCCUGGUGGGAGCUCUAGGGGAGACUGUGGUGGCGGCCAGAGCCCUUGACCACAGCCUGGCCCGCCAGCGCCUCGGGGCUGCGCUUCAUGCCUUGCAGGAUUUCUACAGUCACAGCAACUGGGUCGAACUGGGGGAGCAGCAGCCACACCCUCACCUCCUCUGGCCAAGGCAGGGGCUGCGGAACCUGGCGCAAGUGGACGAUCCUACCUGCUCCGACUGUGACGAGUGGAGCUGCCCUGGGAAUUUGCUGGGCUUCACACUCCUCACCUCUGGCUACUUUGGAACUCAUCCCUCCAAACCUCCAGGGAAAUGUAGCCAUGGGGGCCAUUUUGACCAGAGCAGCUCCCAGCCACCACGGGGAGGCAUCAACAAGGAUAGCACAUGCCCAGGCUUCUCCCCACACCACAUGCUGCACCUCCAGGCUGCAAACCUGGCCCUUCUGGCCUCCAUCCAGGCCUUCAGCCUCCUGCGAAGCCGCCUGGGAGACAGGGGUUUCUCCAGACUGCUGGACAUCACCCCAGCCUCCAGCCUGAGCUUCGUCCUGGAUACCACAGGAAGUAUGGGCGAGGAGAUCAAUGCUGCCAAAAUCCAGGCUCGCCACAUUGUGGAGCAGCGACGGGGUGGCCCCAUGGAGCCCACCCACUAUGUCCUGGUGCCUUUCCAUGACCCAGGGUUUGGCCCCGUCUUUACAACCAGUGACCCUGACAGCUUCUGGCAACAACUCAAUGAGAUACAUGCCUUGGGAGGUGGAGAUGAGCCCGAGAUGUGCCUGUCAGCCCUGGAGCUGGCCCUGCAACACACACCUCCACUCUCAGACAUCUUCGUCUUCACUGACGCCUCCCCCAAGGAUGCCUUUCUCACCAACCGGGUGGAAUCUCUGACUCAGGAGCGGCGUUGCAGAGUCACAUUCCUGUUGACUGAAGACCCAUCUAGGGUUCAGGGCCGACCUCGGCGUGAGGUCUUGUCCCCUCUGCGUUUUGAGCCGUAUGAAGCGGUGGCGCUGGCCUCAGGAGGAGAGGUGAUCUUCACCCAAGACCAGUACAUUCAGGAUGUGGCAGCCAUUGUUGGGGACAGCGUAGCUGACCUGGUGACCCUUCCCCUGGAGCCUCCUGUUGUGGUGCCUGAGAGGCCACUUGUGUUCAGUGUGGAUGGGCUGCUCCAGAGGGUCACAGUCCGGAUCCAUGGGGAGGUCAGCAGCUUCUGGAUCAGAAACCCUGCAGGGGUCUCCCAGGGCCAGGAGGAAGGUGAGGGGCCUCUAGGUCAUACUCGCCGCUUCGGGCAGUUCUGGAUGGUGCGCAUGAAUGACCCCCUGCAGACAGGAACCUGGGAGAUCCAGGUCACAGCCAAGGGUACCCCCCGGGUGAGAGUGCAAGCCCAGACCUCCCUGGAUUUCCUCUUCCACUUUGGGAUCCCCAUGGAGGAUGGACCCCACCCUGGCCUCUACCCCCUGACUCAACCAGUUGCAGGUCUCCAGACCCAGCUGCUGGUAGAAGUGACAGGGCUGGGCUCCAGAGGAAACCCUGGAGAUCCUCUGCCGCAUUUCUCCCACGUCGUCCUUCGAGGGGUCCCGCACGGUGCUGAGCUGGGCCGGGUGCCUUUGGAGCCCAUGGGACCCCGGGAGCGAGGUCUCCUCGCUGCCUCGCUACCGCCUACGCUUCUGUCCACCGCGGGACCCUUCUCUCUGGAGCUGAUUGGCCAGGACGGAGUGGGGCAGGGCCUGCACCGGGUGGCCCCCCAGCCCUGUGCUGUAGUUCCUGUCCUUCUGGAGGUGAGAUGCCAGCGGAAGGUGCGGCUGCGGCUGGAGAGAACAGGGCCUGCUGCUCCUCCCCUGACCGGCCCUCCUCCGCAGCUCAGUGGUCCCCCGGGUUUCCUGGCGCCGGGCACCGAGGCCCCGCUCAGCCUCCGCAUUGCCAGCUUCUCGGGCCCUCAGGAUCUCGAUCUUAGGACAUCCGUCAACCCCAGCUUCGCUCUCACCUCCAACCUCUCCAGGGUUCGCCUGGAACAGAACGAGUCCGCCUGGGGGUGCCUGUGGCUGAAGGUACCAGACACAGCCGCCUCAGACUCCGUGGUGAUGGUGACUGUGACCGCGAUGGAUCGAGAAGCCAGCACAGUACCCCCCACCCAUACCUUCCUCCGGCUCCUGGUGCGGGGCCCCACCCCGCAGGAUCUAUGUUGGGGAGGACUGUGAAGCGAUUUUCAGCAAGACUGCCCUCAAAGUCCACCUGAGGAGACAAGAAGUCCAGUGUUAUUGAGACACAGAAUCUCCAGUACGGAAGAAGGAAAUAUUGAAGAGGAUAAAAAUGGAAUAUGCAAGUUUCUAGAUCUGUCCACAGAAAAGGCCUACAAGCAAUAAUCCAAACAUGCUGAGUACCCUCUAGCACUCACCAUGGUAUGCAGAAAUACCAUUUCUCACUAAAAGGAACCAGGGCUCCUCAGAGAAAUGUCUGGUUCCAGGUCAGAACCGGUACAUGUAAGUGGUAUAUCUGGUACAUCUUGUCAAACCAGAGAGUGGGGAAGUUAUCCAAGUCUACUAGUGUCAUGUUAAAGGACUCAGAAGCCAACAUGAAGAGGCUCCCAUUGGCCAAAGAUGGAAUAUCUCGAACAUGUGUAAAGAUUAAAAAUGCAGUGGCCUGAAGCACGAAGAAAUCUGUAAGUUUGUAAUGAUACUAAAACAACAACAGCAACCAAAAAAACUCAUUGGUUGCCUUGGAGGAUUAUGGAACUAAUUUCGUAUUUGCUGAUAGCUGGACAGAUAAAAUCAGGGGGAAAAAUCAAGCAAUGUUCUGUGAUAUCACUAGGUAACCAAAGAGUAGAUGAGAGGAAGUCUUCCUUCCAGAAACAUUCUAAUAAAUGAAGAAAGAAUGACAGAAUUAGAAUAACACUACUUUGCAAUCUCUAAAGAACUAAUGGACUUAAUUAUUAAACAUCAAAGACUGCUAUCAUCACAAAAUGAGUCAGACAUACUGACAUUAUGUUCCUCCAUUUAUGAAACACUAUUGAAAAAAAUUAAACUUGAACCUGAGCAAGCUUCUAGAUUCAACUAUUAAUUUACAAAAAUUCUAGAAGAGAGAGAAACAUGUCAAAAACAGGGAAUGUGGGCUUCCCUGGUGACGCAGUGGUUGAGAGUCCGCCUGCCAAUGCAGGGGACACGGGUUCGUGCCCCCGUCCGGGAAGAUCCCACAUGCCGCGGAGCGGCUGGGCCCGUGAGCCAUGGCUGCUGAGCCUGCGCGUCCGGAGCCUGUGCUCCGCAAUGGGAGAGGCCACAACAGCAAGGGGCCCGCGUACUGCAAAACAAACAAACAAACAAACAAAACAGGGAUGUAAUCAGUGAAAUGCAGGCUAAGGAAAACUCUGUCGGACAAAUAAUCCAGCUUCUGCAACAAAUAUGUUGCAAGAGGGAAAAGAUAUAUAUAUGGAGAGGCGGGGAGAGGGGAAGAGAGGAGGAGGAGGAGAGGGAGAGAGAGAGAGAGAGAGAGAGAGAGAGAGAGAGAAUGGUGAAAUGGAGAAGGAACCCAUAAAGGAGAUUCAAAAAGACAUCAUCCCAUCGCUAUAUGAACAUAUUUUGAUCCUAAUUAAACAAACUGUAAUUUUAAAAAAUCAUUACAUUUACGAGAUGAAUAGAAAUUUAAACAUGAGAUAAUUAAUAUUAAAGAAUUACAUUAAUUUUUAGAUAAGAUAAUGGCAUUGUUAUUCUUUUUUAAAAAUAAUUUUCUUUUAGAAAGCAUAUUGAAAUAUUUAUGGGUGAAAUGAUAUGAUGGCUGGGAACUGCUUCACAAUAAUACAGGAAAAGGAAAGUGAGAGAAGAUAUACACGAAACAACAUUUGUAUGAGUCAAAGUGUUAAAGCUACAUGGUGGGUACAUGGGAGUUCUUUGUAUUAUUCUCUCUAAAUUUUUUUUGACAAUUUCCACAGUGCAAAGUUUUUUUAAAGGUGUUGGGAUAAAGUUGGACCGGGUGACGAGAGUAAAGAGGAUUUGGAACACAUGCUGGGGGUCUUAACCUGGACUUCUAGAUUCAAGAAGGGAGGUCUUACCUUGUAGAGAACCUGCCAGUCACUGACCUUGGUGUGGGACAACUUCAUGCGUUUAAGAAUCAGCUAGAGUCAAACAAGGAGACAGCCGCUGUUUUCCUUCUCCCACCCUAAUGCCCCUCAAGAUGCCCAGCAUCCCUCACCUCCUUCCCCACCUCCCUGCCCCCAACCCCGAGCUCACAGGCACGUUCUUGAUGUGACCCAGCAAUCGAUGCAGCAUCUGAGCCAUGUCCAGAUUCUGGGGUAACAGGAAAAACUGAAUGACAUCCAGACGGGAAUUUAGUUCCUCCAGGUCCUGGGUUGGACGUGUGAACCAUAGCCUGGAAGUGAGGGUUGGAGUGAGGAGACCAGAAAUUACCUCUGUUCUCAUCACUGUCUUGAUCUCAAUUUGUGAAAAAUGUGCAUUUGGAGGUCCCUGGGGAUUGUGGCGAUAUGUAUCUGCACUGGUAAGUACAGUGUCCUAUCUAUGCAGGUGUGUUUACUUGCAUCUACUGAAAAUCUCUGGAUGCGAGCACAACUGUGUGUAUCUCGGUUUUGAUGGAUAUGACCAUGUGUCAUUCCAUGUGGCUAUGUGAUGGAGUUUGUCAAUAUUUUAGAGGGAGAGCAGUGUGUUGAGGCAUAUGAAUGCCAACACUCUAGCUCUCUCUGCAGCUGAGUAGGAGUGAGUCAGAAAGAGUUUGUAUAUCCGUAUUUAGCUGUGAAAUAGCACAGACAUUCAUGUCUUUUCAUGUUCUUCCUGUGAAAGUAUAUAACUGUUCCAUGUAGAAUAAGUUCUCAAUUCGUGAUAAUGUUCAUCCCUGCAGAGAAGAAAGUAUUGGGUAGAGAUACUUAAAGGGCUUCAAUAACGUUGUCUUAUUUUUAAAUUGGCUAGUGGAAACACAGAGGUUUAUAUUAUUAUUAUUACCUUUUCUGUGUCUGAGGUUAUUUCCUAAUAAAUUAAAUUAUUAUA